rnacentral:lncRNA from 1 species
GUCUAGGGGGAGUCUGGGCCCCCAGGGAUUACCGGACCACCAGGUUUAGAAGGUUUUCAGGGAAUAAGAGGACUGCGUGGUGUCAGAGGAGACAUUGGAGGGCAAGGACCACCUGGUCCUGUAGGACAGCUUGGACCUCAGGGAGACCAUGGGGCUAAAGGGGAACCAGGGGCACUAGGAGAUAAGGGAGAUCCUGGAGCUCCAGGCCCACCAGGAGAACAGGUUAGUGUGAUGGUUCUGUGUAUACAGUUUGACAUUUAUACUGUAAGUCUGCAUUCUGUUUUUUGAAUGUACAGGGGGAGGAUGGCCCUCCAGG